AACGAACGCUGGCGGCAGGCUUAACACAUGCAAGUCGAGCGCCCCGCAAGGGGAGCGGCAGACGGGUGAGUAACGCGUGGGAAUCUACCCAUCUCUGCGGAACAACUCCGGGAAACUGGAGCUAAUACCGCAUACGCCCUUCGGGGGAAAGAUUUAUCGGGGAUGGAUGAGCCCGCGUUGGAUUAGCUAGUUGGUGGGGUAAAGGCCUACCAAGGCGACGAUCCAUAGCUGGUCUGAGAGGAUGAUCAGCCACAUUGGGACUGAGACACGGCCCAAACUCCUACGGGAGGCAGCAGUGGGGAAUAUUGGACAAUGGGCGCAAGCCUGAUCCAGCCAUGUCGCGUGAGUGAUGAAGGCCUUAGGGUUGUAAAGCUCUUUCACCGAUGAAGAUAAUGACGGUAGUCGGAGAAGAAGCCCCGGCUAACUUCGUGCCAGCCGCCGCCGUAA
rnacentral:rRNA from 1 species